CUACGGGUGGCUCCAGGCGCGGAACCUUUACAAUGCACGCAAGUGUGAUAAGGGAACCCUCAGUGCUCAUGUAUUACAUGGGCUUUUGCCAAGAGUAAAUAUCUUGGCGAAUAAGUGGUGGGUAAGACUGGUGCCAGCCGCCGCGGUAACACCAGCGCCACGAGUGGCAACCACGUUUAUUGGGCCUAAAGCGUCCGUAGUCGGUUUGGUAAAUCUCUUGUGAAAUCGUCAGGCUUAACCUGACGGCGCGCUCGAGACACUGCUUUACUUGAGACCGGGAGGAGUCAGAGGUAUUCCUGAGGGAGCGGUAAAAUGUGAUAAUCUCAGGAGGAUCACCUAUGGCGAAGGCAUCUGACCAGAACGGAUCUGACGAUGAGGGACGAAGGCUAGGGGAGCGAUCCGGAUUAGAUACCCUCGUAGUC
rnacentral:rRNA from 1 species